AUUGAACGCUGGCGGCAGGCCUAACACAUGCAAGUCGAGCGGAGCGGCGGACGGGUGAGUAAUGCCUAGGAAUCUGCCUGGUAGUGGGGGAUAACGUCCGGAAACGGACGCUAAUACCGCAUACUAUCAUCUGAGCCUAGGUCGGAUUGGCUAGUUGGUGGGGUAAAGGCCUACCAAGGCGACGCUCCGUCACUGGUCUGCGAGGAUGAUCAGUCACACUGGAACUGAGACACGGGCCAGACUCCUACGGGAGGCAGCAGUGGGGAAGAGUGGACAAUGGGCGAAAGCCUGAUCCAGCCAUGCCGCGUGUGUGAAGAAGGUCUUCGGAUUGUAAAGCACUUUAAGUUGGGAGGCGUGACCAACAGAAUAAGCACCGGCUAACUCAGUGCCAGCAGCCGCGGGAAUAC
rnacentral:rRNA from 1 species